ACAGGCUCUCGGACGUUUCCCAAUCCAAUGACAGGUACCCGACCAGCCAGUAACCGCGAUCCAUCACGCUGUAGCUCACCGCCAUCACGAACCCGGCCAGCAGCGAAUACGACCAGAACUCCCGCCGGUCGGAUCGUCCGGAAAAAUCAAAGCAUCGCCUGAUGGGCACAAGUGCAGCGAUCAUUCACGCUCCGGGCAACGGAUGUUGGGCGUCAACAGCUGACGAUCUUCUAGCAUUGCGAAGCCAAGCAUCAACUGAACCCCGCAGCUCGA
rnacentral:misc_RNA from 1 species